CAACCCUCGAGCCCCCGUGGCCCGGCGUUGGGGAUCUGCCCAGGCAGGCCCUGAAAAUCAGUGGCGGACCCGUUACAGGCCCUUCCUUUGCGUAGUAGCAUUAGCCUCGCAUUGGGAGCCAGCGGGCUUCUGGCCUCUAAACCCCCAUCAAGUCCGCUCCGGCGGCACCAA
rnacentral:misc_RNA from 1 species